rnacentral:rRNA from 1 species
AACGAACGUUAGCGGCGCGCCUAACACAUGCAAGUCGCACGAGAAAGGGCUUCGGCCCCGGUAAAGUGGCGCACGGGUGAGUAACACGUGGGUAACCUGCCCUCGAGCGGGGGAUAACAUUCCGAAAGGAGUGCUAAUACCGCAUAAGACCACGCUCUCGAAAGAGAGCGAGGUAAAAGCUGGCCUCUAUACAUAAGCUACCACUUGAGGAUGGGCCCGCGGCGCAUCAGGUAGUUGGUGGGGUAAUGGCUCACCAAGCCUAAGACGCGUAGCUGGUCUGAGAGGAUGAUCAGCCACACUGGAACUGAGACACGGUCCAGACUCCUACGGGAGGCAGCAGUGGGGAAUCUUGCGCAAUGGGCGAAAGCCUGACGCAGCGACGCCGCGUGAGUGAUGAAGGCCUUCGGGUUGUAAAGCUCUGUGGGGCGAGACGAAUAAGUGCAGCCUAAUACGUUGCGCGAUGACGGUAUCGCCUUAGCAAGCACCGGCUAACUCUGUGCCAGCCGCCGCCGUAAUAC